rnacentral:tRNA from 1 species
CGGGGCGUGGCUCAGCCUGGUAGAGCGCUCGGUUCGGGACCGAGAGGUCGCAGGUUCGAAUCCUGCCGCCCCGA